GAAAAGGUGAAGUAGAUGGUUUCAAACGCUGCUGGCCUCACUGUCCGUGAUCCGUCUAUGCCGGUAGUUCAGGCGCGGAAUCGCGGGCGUUAGCCCUGGUGAGCAGCGCUGCUGGGAGGGCGGCUGCGAGUGCGCAUGUCUCUCUACGUGUAGCCAGGUUCCUCAUGAGCGGACGUCCAGAGCUGGGAAGGAAGAUAAGCGGCCCCUUUUCCAUGCAAACAAGACUUUGUCCCAUGCUUUUCUCAGGAAAAAUCAGGAUUUUUCUCUGUUUAUGAGUUAUCAACCAUUAUAAAGUUUUCAGCUACUGACUUGAUAAAAUGUCUUUCUUCUCGUCAUGGAUCAAAGCUAUUUUCAUCAUUUUCUUUGCAUUUCUUCUUUGCUCUGCUUUCCUCCGAUAUAAAGUAAAAAUGGAUAAGGUAAGAUAACACUGAAGUCUUUAGGAAGUUAAAAAUGAUAAAUUAAUAACAUUUUUAAUGUUGUAAAUUUUAACAACAAAAUUGUGUGGUCUUUUUGUAAAGUAUAAUAAACAUAAAAAAUAUUGACAAUAUUUUACAUUUUAAGUGGGUAGUGGUUCUAUUGAGGUUUGUUCUUAAACUUAUAUACAGAAUAUAUUUAUCCCAUUUAUAUGUGUGGCAUUUCAUAUUAGAUUUGAACAUGUCUUACUCUGUGUUAUUUGAUAAGUUUCAUGUUUUUGUUUAAUAUUUUGCAGACUAACUGUAUGUCAUUCAUGCUUUCACCACAUACUUGUACUGGAGAACAUGAGCCAGUCUGUGCAACCAAUGGUCAUACUUACCGUAAUAUAUGUAUUCUCUGCAGUGAAAAGAUGCUUCUUCGUAAAAAUUUUGAAGUUGCUCAUUUUGGUGUUUGUUGAAUUUUGAUGAAGAUAUACACCCUUAUAAUUCUAAUGUGAUCUAAUUUUGCAGUCAAUUCUACAAUUAGAAUUUGAUUUCUCUCAACUGGGUCCUUAAAUUCACAGAUGAUCAGAUAUAUCCUCUUAUGGAACAUGAGAUGGAAAAUAGAAUUUCAAAGUUAUUGCCAGUUCAAAGAUUUUUUUAUUUUAGGACUUUGAUUCUCCAUGUUUGGUUAUUUAGUGACAGUUUGAAAAAUAUCUUAAAUAUAUGUUUGAUAUCAUAAAACUUAAUACAACUUAAAAUAUUAAAUAUUUCAUUCAAAAAAGUUAAUGAUUUAGUCUUUUUAAAAAUCUUUCUUCUUUAUAAUAAAGGGAAUAUUGCUCACUAGGAUAUAGAAAUA
rnacentral:lncRNA from 1 species